GUGGUCUAGGAAGGGCGUGUGUCACCAUGGCCUGGAUCCCCGUCCUCGUCGUGCUCCUCUGCCACUGCACAGGUUCCCUGUCCCAGCCUGUCGUGACUCAGCCAGCCUCCCUCUCUGCAUCCCUGGGAACAACAGCCAGACUCACCUGCACUCUGAGCAGGGACAUCAAUGUUGGAAACUAUAACAUAUACUGGUUCCAGCAGAUGGCAGGGAGCCCUCCCCGGUAUCUCCUGUACUACUACUCAGACUCAGAUAAGCACCAGGGCCCCGGGGUCCCCAGCCGCUUCUCUGGGUCCAAAGAUGCCUCGGCCAAUGCAGGGCUUCUGCUCAUCUCUGGGCUGCAGCCUGAGGACGAGGCUGACUAUUACUGUGCAAUCUGGCCUAGUAGUGCUGGUCACAGUGACACAGACACAUGGGGAAGUGGGACAAUUACCCAGCCUGCUUAG